rnacentral:tRNA from 1 species
CGAGGUGUAGCGCAGUCUGGCUAGCGCACAUGGUUUGGGACCAUGGGGCCGGGGGUUCGAAUCCCUUCACCUCGACCA